GGAACGGCCUUUUUGGCUUCGGCCAGAGAGGAGUGCGGACGGGUGAGUACACAUGGGUACCUGACCCUCACGUGAGGGAUACCGGCGAGAAAUCGCCGACAAGCCCGCAUGCGCUCGCAGGGGUGCAGCCAUGAGAGCAAAGCUUUUCUUGUGAGAGCAAGAGAGGCGCGUGGGGAUGGGCCCGUGGCCGAUUAGCUGGUUGGUGGGGUAAGCAGCCCACCAAGGCGACGAUCGGUAGCUGAUCUGAGAGGACGAACAGCCACACUGGGAUUGAGAACGGCCCAGACUCCUACGGGGGGCAGCAGUGAGGAAUUUUCCGCAAUGGAGGCAACUCUGACGGAGCAACGCCGCGUGCAGGAGGACGCGUUUCGACGUGUAACUGCUUUUCUGUGGACGAG
rnacentral:rRNA from 1 species